ACGGAGGGUGCAAGCGUUAUCCGGAUUUAUUGGGUUUAAAGGGUCCGUAGGCGGACUUGUAAGUCAGUGGUGAAAUCCGACAGCUCAACUGUCGAACUGCCAUUGAUACUGCGAGUCUUGAGUAAAGUAGAAGUGGCUGGAAUAAGUAGUGUAGCGGUGAAAUGCAUAGAUAUUACUUAGAACACCAAUUGCGAAGGCAGGUCACUAUGUUUUAACUGACGCUGAUGGACGAAAGCGUGGGUAGCGAACAGG
rnacentral:rRNA from 1 species